CGACAUUUACUUAUUCAAGUGCUGUUCAAAUAGCUGCGAUCCGCUAAUAUUCGCCACCAUCACAAUCCGUGUGUUCCUAAAUGCAUCAGAUUGAUUAGUAGCUGGAUGUUCCUUAUUACAGCAAAUAGCAAAUCCACAGGAGUGAUAUUAAUAUUUAAUAAAGUUAAAUAAUUUAAUUCUAUUAAAUAAUCUUUCUAUUUAUCGUGUGUUUUUUGUGCAUUUAAAUCUUUUAGAAAUUAGAAGUAUCUAAGUAUACGAAUAUUUACAAAAUGAAAAUUCAAUUUAUUCAUAGAGAUUGUGUUUAUAUACAUACUUUACAUGUAAAGGGCGUACUGACUUAAUUUUAAAAAAUUAACACAUACGUUGCUUAAAUAAAAAUAAUGAAUUG